CAGUCGAACGACUUCCGUUAAUUGAUUAUGACGUACUUGUACUGAUUGAGAUUUUAACACGAAGUGAGUGGCGAACGGGUGAGUAACACGUGGGUAACCUGCCCAGAAGUAGGGGAUAACACCUGGAAACAGAUGCUAAUACCGUAUAACAGAGAAAACCGCAUGGUUUUCUUUUAAAAGAUGGCUCUGCUAUCACUUCUGGAUGGACCCGCGGCGUAUUAGCUAGUUGGUGAGGUAAAGGCUCACCAAGGCAGUGAUACGUAGCCGACCUGAGAGGGUAAUCGGCCACAUUGGGACUGAGACACGGCCCAGACUCCUACGGGAGGCAGCAGUAGGGAAUCUUCCACAAUGGACGCAAGUCUGAUGGAGCAACGCCGCGUGAGUGAAGAAGGGUUUCGGCUCGUAAAGCUCUGUUGUUAAAGAAGAACGUGGGUAAGAGUAACUGUUUACCCAGUGACGGUAUUUAACCAGAAAGCCACGGCUAACUACGUGCCAGCAGCCGCGGUAAUACGUAGGUGGCAAGCGUUAUCCGGAUUUAUUGGGCGUAAAGCGAGCGCAGGCGGUCUUUUAAGUCUAAUGUGAAAGCCUUCGGCUCAACCGAAGAAGUGCAUUGGAAACUGGGAGACUUGAGUGCAGAAGAGGACAGUGGAACUCCAUGUGUAGCGGUGAAAUGCGUAGAUAUAUGGAAGAACACCAGUGGCGAAGGCGGCUGUCUGGUCUGCAACUGACGCUGAGGCUCGAAAGCAUGGGUAGCGAACAGGAUUAGAUACCCUGGUAGUCCAUGCCGUAAACGAUGAUUACUAAGUGUUGGAGGGUUUCCGCCCUUCAGUGCUGCAGCUAACGCAUUAAGUAAUCCGCCUGGGGAGUACGACCGCAAGGUUGAAACUCAAAAGAAUUGACGGGGGCCCGCACAAGCGGUGGAGCAUGUGGUUUAAUUCGAAGCUACGCGAAGAACCUUACCAGGUCUUGACAUCUUCUGACAGUCUAAGAGAUUAGAGGUUCCCUUCGGGGACAGAAUGACAGGUGGUGCAUGGUUGUCGUCAGCUCGUGUCGUGAGAUGUUGGGUUAAGUCCCGCAACGAGCGCAACCCUUAUUACUAGUUGCCAGCAUUAAGUUGGGCACUCUAGUGAGACUGCCGGUGACAAACCGGAGGAAGGUGGGGACGACGUCAAAUCAUCAUGCCCCUUAUGACCUGGGCUACACACGUGCUACAAUGGAUGGUACAACGAGUCGCGAGACCGCGAGGUUAAGCUAAUCUCUUAAAACCAUUCUCAGUUCGGACUGUAGGCUGCAACUCGCCUACACGAAGUCGGAAUCGCUAGUAAUCGCGGAUCAGCAUGCCGCGGUGAAUACGUUCCCGGGCCUUGUACACACCGCCCGUCACACCAUGAGAGUUUGUAACACCCAAAGCCGGUGGGGUAAC
rnacentral:rRNA from 1 species